rnacentral:rRNA from 4 species
UCUGGUAAUGAUGGCAGAGAGGUCACACCCGUUCCCAUACCGAACACGGAAGUUAAGCUCUCUAGCGCC